GAUGACUCUGGUGAUAGUUAAAGGGAGAUCUGGAACUAGAGGAGGAUCCUGACAUAAAAUAGCAGUCCUCGGAAAAAAAAGGAUUAAACCCUGUUACUUAUCACACAUGGAUGGAAAUUAAUGAUACUGUUCAGUGAAAUGAUACAGAAAGAAGACAAAUGUCUCUGGAUCUCCCUGAUAUCUGGAAUUCAAGAAAAUUGACCUCGCAGAAGUUGAGAGUGGAACAGCAGCCUCCAGGGACUGGAAGAAUAAACAUGCAGGAGGCCUGGGAAAACAUGGUCACUGACUUACAGUUAAGAAGCAGUUUUCGGUGUGAGUCUCCUGUCACCUGGAUAGGAUGGACAUCCGUAAGCCCACAUAACAUGGAGGUGAUGAAUGGAACCGCUAAAUAAAAUAAUGAAAGCUUUUUAUUCAUA